AACGAACGCUGGCGGCAUGCCUAACACAUGCAAGUCGAACGAGACCUUCGGGUCUAGUGGCGCACGGGUGCGUAACGCGUGGGAACCUGCCCUUAGGUUCGGAAUAACUCCCCGAAAGGGGUGCUAAUACCGGAUAAUGUCUUCGGACCAAAGAUUUAUCGCCUUUGGAUGGGCCCGCGUUGGAUUAGCUAGUUGGUAGGGUAAAAGCCUACCAAGGGGACGAUCCAUAGCUGGUCUGAGAGGAUGAUCAGCCACACUGGGACUGAGACACGGCCCGGACUCUUCCGGAAGGCAGGAGUGGGGAAUGUAGAAAAGUGGCGUAAGGCCUGAACGUCUUAGGCCCGUUAAAGUAUGAAAUCAUGGGGGUAGAAAAGUGUUUGUACCCGUGAAAAUAAUGACAGUACCGAAUAAAAAAGCUCCGGCUAACUCCGUG
rnacentral:rRNA from 1 species